CCCCUCUCUGCUCUGUCAUUUCGACAUUUCCUCCCUUCCUUUGGUUCUCACUCUCCCCUGUCUCUGCUGUGAACUCUCAGAAAUUUCCCCCCUUUCUCUCUGGUUCUAUCUCGCUAUCGUUGCUCUGCUACGAAAUCUCUCUCUCUCUCUCUCUCUCUCUCUCUCUCUCUCUCUCUCUCUCUCUCUCUCUCUCUCUCUCUCUCUCUCUCUCGUUGUAUACGUGUCAGCCUGAGUGCAGGAACUCUCUCCGUGUCCAUUUUAGUCCGAAAUCCCCGUGUCCAUUAGCUGCAACUAACCCUUCGAAAUCCCUUCAAAAUCCCUUCCCGUUCAUCCAAUAUUGAACCCUAACCCUAAGCAGCCUAGGUUAGACCGAAACCCUAACCCCCUAGAUCUAACCCAAACCCUAACCCUUCAUCCCACACUGAAACCCUAACCCGAACCCUAACCCUUCAUCCCAUACCGAAACCCUAACCCUUCAUCCCGAAACUGGUAAUCAGUCGCACCUCUCUAGCAAAUGAGUGCUGCUUCUCAUUUUGGGUCAAGUUUGGAGAGACCACUAUGCUAUUGUGGCUCCCAAGUGAAGCUUCGGAUUUCUGGAAAAGCAAAUACUUUUGGCAGAAGGUUUUUCAAUUGUCCAAACUAUAAGAUGAAUAAACAAUGUGAUUUUUUUGAGUGAAUUGAUCUUUAAAGUGAGCAAAACAGUUACUGUAAGUUAAUGUUGGAGUUAGCUGAACGGAGGCAUGAGAGGGUACUUUAUGAGCGACUACGCAUCGAAGAAUCCAAAUUAAAAGCAUUGGAGAAGAAGUACAACCGAGUCUUCAAAGUAUUAAAUAUGACAUGGUUUUUUUUUAGUAAUAGUUUAUGGUAUACUUUUGAUGUAUCGAACCAAUUAUAAUGUAUCUCAGCCAUGUCUACAACUCAUGUAAGACGUUGUACUUUUUUAAUUAUCUAGGUUGAUUAGUUGAAUGUAGUAAAUGUGUUGAAUGGUGUAUUGACUACAAUAUUGGAGGUUUUUUGCAAUUUAUUGAUAUAAUUUUGAUGUAUUA